GGAGGGGCGGCCACGACGCCGGGCUGCAGGGAAGGGGCGGCCGCGGGGAGGUCCAGCGGCUGGGAGAUAGGAGGGGGCGCUGGAUGGAGGAGGAAGGAGGUCCCUGCGUCCAUGGAGUUGGGAGGUCGCCGGACCUGGGCGCUCCCUGGCCAAGGGCUGGGAAGAGCAGGGGGAAGGCCGACGUUGAGGGAGGAGCUCGCAGGGGAGACGCCAUGGACGGAGAACAGGAGCUCGGCUUAGGGCCUAGCGUGGUCGAGCAGAGCCGGAGGAAGCUGGGCGCCAUGGGAGCUCCAAACCUUGGGGGAAGAUGGAGAUGGGAGGUCGCGGCAGGCGAGCGUGCACCCAGCCCGCGCGUGCGCCCUCCGGAAUCUGGCCCGCCGCCGGCGCCGCUGCGCUCAGUCGCCGCGUCUCCAAGCGGGCUCGGGCGCAGCCAUGGCGCAGGCCCUGGCGCAGACCCGUGGCCUCCGGCCAGGCGCGGCCCAGCGCGAGUGCGGCCUGGGGAAGGGGAGCCGCCGGCGGGAG
rnacentral:misc_RNA from 1 species